AGAAACAUUCUUUCUUUAGUUACUAGAAUCUUUUAAAUUGAUAAGAUUGGCAUUUUCCCAGGAUAUAACAUUCACCUCCACUGUGUUUUUAAUUUGCAAUAGAUUUUGAGGGAAAGAUUCCACAAGGAUUUGGCCAACAUGCCUCCUGAGCAGUGGGUCUCAAGUGUGGUCCCCAGACCAGCAUGAUCCCCAUCAGCUGGAAACUGUUAGAAAUGCAAAUUGUCAGGCCCUACCCCAGACCCACUGAAUCAGAAACUCUGGGAGGGGAAACCAACAAUCUGUGUUUCAACAUGAAGUCUGAGAACUUAAACUAUGCACCGUUCUUGGUAAGAAAAUAAGAGUUUUCCUUUGUGUGCGUAUGUGAAACCAAUUCCCUGCAACCCACAGUUGUUUAAACAAAAACGUGUCUAGGGAGUUCAAAUUAGGUGGCCAAUUGCCUUAUAAAAGUUUACAAAGUAAAGAGUCUGUGCUGUUUCCGUUAGGAGACAGAAACCCAAUCACUAACUUGGAGUAUGAGUCAGAGGCAGGACAGAGAAAUGUCUGUCUAGUCGGUGAGCUAAUUAAUACGUGAUCCUGAGGAUGGAGGAGCCAGGGCUGCCGUUCCUUCUCCACUAGGGAAAAAAAAAAAAGAUGUUUCUCUGUCAGGCAGCUCCCUAGCUACCUCCAGUAUGUUCUAUUCCAUGGCUAGAGGAGUGCAGCCUACAUCCUGUGGAUUUAUGUAUAUUACUGUAAAACAAGCUUUCUCUUCUCGAGAGUUCCGAAGCAGAUCUGUCUCUGAUUCUUUCCAUGAAUUCAAAUACAUUGUCAUCCUUAGGUUUCCUAGGUAAAGGAGACUGCAUUACUCAUCAGCAUUUAAUAAAUAUUCAUUUGUUGGUUGACUGAUUCAUUAUCCUUCAUGCCAAUCACAUGGCUGCUACUAGCAUGCAUACAGCCGACUCUUAACUACAGUUGUGUCAUCUACACAAUCCCUGCAGAAAACUCAUUGAACACGUAGUCGACACAUUUAAAAAUGCUGUGCUGUGGAAGUGCAAGUUGCACAAACAUUUUCAUCUUUAGCUUCACUUAGAAUACAUUUUUUUAGUUUUUUAAUGUUUUUAGAGACAGGGUCUGCCUCUGUGACCCAGGCUGGAAUGCAGUGCUGUGUGAUCAUAGCUCACUAUAACCUCAAACUUCUAGGUUCAAGUGCUCCUCCUGCCUCAGCCUCCCAAGUAGCUGGCACUAUAGGCACACACCACCAUGACCAGUGUGUGUGUGUGUGUGUGUGUGUGUGUGUGUGUGUGUGUUUGUUUUAAUAGAGACGGGGUCUUGCUAUGUUGCUGAUUUCAAACUCCUGGCCUAAAGCAAUUAUCCUACCCUGGCCUCCCAAAGUGCUGGGAUUGCAGGCAUGAGCCACCUGGCCCAUCUAUAACUAACUUCAUAACACUCCAAAUUGGAAGAAAGUUGGUGGUGUUAUUAGCAUUAUUUUACAGAUGGAGAAAUUAACACCUGGAGUUUUGUGAUUACAGAGCAGUGGUAAUCACCCAGUUAUUUUCCUUCUCUGUCCCUCCAGUGGCCCUCUGUUGUCUGGGUUAAGUACAGACUUUUUAGUUUGAGGAAAGGAGUCCCUCCACAAUUUGUCAUUCCUCUAUUCUUCCAGCCAAAUUUCUUACUUCUCCUCCACCCUCAACUACAGUCAAACAUCAAACAGGCCGGGCGCGGUGGCUCACGCCUGUAAUCCCAGCACUUUGGGAGGCCGAGGCGGGUGGAUCAUGAGGUCAGGAGAUCGAGACCAUCCUGGCUAACAAGGUGAAACCCCGUCUCUACUAAAAAAAAUACAAAAAAUUAGCCGGGCGCGGUGGCGGGCGCCUGUAGUCCCAGCUACUCGGGAGGCUGAGGCAGGAGAAUGGCGUGAACCCGGGAAGCGGAGCUUGCAGUGAGCCGAGAUUGCGCCACUGCAGUCCGCAGUCCGGCCUGGGUGACAGAGCGAGACUCCGUCUCAAAAAAAAAAAAAAAAACAUCAAACAAUACUCACUGAGCCCUUCCCACGUGCCGGGCUAUUUGCCGAGAACUUCUCAUGCAUUAUCUCAUUUAAUCCUCAUCACAACUUCUCUCAGGUGGAGGCAUGAUUGCCAUCCCAUCAUACGGGUGAGGAAACUGAGGCUCAUAGAAGUACCUUGCCCCAAGCCCCAUGGCUACUUGCAGGUUCCAAGACACCGGUCAGCCUGCCCCCCUGCACCUUGGCCAUGCUGCCCACUCACCUAGAGCGCACAGCUGACACUGAGUCCUCUUCUGAACCUCAUCCAUGAACAUAUUUAUGAAAUCUUUCCUGGCCCCAAGUGGAAAUGCCCCCUCAUUUGGGUCCUCA
rnacentral:lncRNA from 10 species